UACGUAGGGCGCAAGCGUUGUCCGGAAUUAUUGGGCGUAAAGAGCUCGUAGGCGGUUUGUCGCGUCGACUGUGAAAACCUGGGGCUUAACUCUGGGCCUGCAGUCGAUACGGGCAGACUUGAGUUCGGUAGGGGAGACUGGAAUUCCUGGUGUAGCGGUGAAAUGCGCAGAUAUCAGGAGGAACACCGGUGGCGAAGGCGGGUCUCUGGGCCGAUACUGACGCUGAGGAGCGAAAGCGUGGGGAGCGAACAGG
rnacentral:rRNA from 1 species